rnacentral:tmRNA from 1 species
GGGGAUGUUCUUGGAUUCGUCAGGGUUUUAAAUGUGAUAUAAGCAUGUCUUGGUUGUGCAAGUAAAAACACCGAGGUUAUUAAUAACCGGAAACCAAAAUUUACAAUUCGCUGCUUAAGAAAAAGUGCGAGCCAACGCUAGGUUUUCUUACGACUUAGUCUAAGGCACAAAACAGUAAGAUAUAUUUAGUUGUUGCCACCUUAAGCAACUAAACGAACUAACAAGGUUAGUCAAGUCAUAAUAUGUCAAUCUAUGAUUACUUGAUGAAAACAACUGAUUGACUAAACAUGUAGAAAGUAUCACAGGAAAAAUCAUGCACAGGGGUUCAACUCCCCUCAUCUCCACCA